rnacentral:rRNA from 1 species
UUCAAUACCGCGUGUGUGAAGAAGGCCUGAGGGUUGUAAAGCACUUUCAAUAGGAAGGAAUACCUAUCGGCUAAUACCCGGUAGACUGACAUUACCUAUACAAGAAGCACCGGCUAACUCCGUGCCAGCAGCCGCGGUAAUACGGAGGGUGCAAGCGUUAAUCGGAAUUACUGGGCGUAAAGCGUGCGUAGGCGGUUAUUUAAGUCAGAUGUGAAAGCCCUGGGCUUAACCUGGGAACUGCAUUUGAUACUGGGUAACUAGAGUUUAGUAGAGGGGAGUGGAAUUUCAGGUGUAGCGGUGAAAUGCGUAGAGAUCUGAAGGAACACCAGUGGCGAAGGCGGCUCCCUGGACUAAAACUGACGCUGAGGUACGAAAGCGUGGGUAGCAAACAGGAUUAGAUACCCUGGUAGUCCACGCCGUAAACGAUGUCAACUAACUGUUGGGUUCUUUAAGAACUUAGUAGUGGAGCUAACGUAUUAAGUUGACCGCCUGGGGAGUACGGCCGCAAGGCUAAAACUCAAAUGAAUUGACGGGGGCCCGCACAAGCGGUGGAGCAUGUGGUUUAAUUCGAUGCAACGCGAAGAACCUUACCUACCCUUGACAUCCUCGGAACUUGUCAGAGAUGACUUGGUGCCUUCGGGAACCGAG